rnacentral:SRP_RNA from 1 species
GGCAGGCAUGGUAGUGCAGGCACGUAGUCCCAAAUAUGAGGCAGGAGAUUGCCUGAGUCCAGGAGUUCUGGGCUGUUGUGCACUAUGCCCAUCAGGUUUCUGCACUAAGUUCAGCAUCAGUAUGGUGACCUUCUGGCAAUGGGAGACUACUAGGUUGCCUAAGCAGGAAGGAACUGGCCCAGGUUGGAAAUGAGCAGGUCAAAAUCCCAUGCUGAUCAGCAGUAGUAUUGCACCUGUGAAUAGUCAACUGCAUUUCAGCCUGGGCUACAUAGCAAGACCCU